rnacentral:misc_RNA from 1 species
GAGAUGGUUGCUGGAGGUUCAGUGAUAACGUCUCUUUUCAUCCAUGCCAUUCUUCUCUCUUACCUGAUUUGCCAGAGUCAUCAUGGUUUCACAGCAAUAGCCGCAUCCUCUCUCGGUGGAAAUGAGACUGAUCGAACAGCUUUGCUAGCUUUCAAGGACAAGAUAACAGAUGAUCCACUUCACGUCAUGAGCUCAUGGAAUAAUUCUGUCCAUUUCUGUGACUGGUUUGGUGUCACAUGCGGUCGUAGGCACAGGAGGGUUACAGUGCUCGAUUUACAGGAGAAGAAGCUUGUUGGGUCCUUAUCUCCACUGCUUGGAAAUCUCAGCUUUCUUAAAACAUUAAGCCUGCUUAACAAUGGCUUCAGUGGUCAAAUCCCUCAAGAAUUGGGGAAUUUGUUCAGACUUCAAGUGUUAAGCUUGGAGAACAAUUCCUUCACCGGCGAAAUCCCAUCCAAUAUAUCUCACUGCACCAACGUUGUGUACCUUGGUUUAGGAGGUAACAAGCUGGUGGGAAGUAUACCAAAGGAGUUGGAGUCUUUGUUCAAGCUCCAGCAACUUGUUAUUCCUGAAAACAAUCUGACAGGAGGAGUUCCACCUUUCCUUGGCAAUUUAUCAUCUCUUGAAAUCGUCCUAGCCGCAGGUAACAAGUUCGGAGGGACGAUCCCAGACUCUCUUGGCCGGUUAGUGAAGUUAAGGGUUUUAGCGCUUGGACUCAAUAUAUUGUCUGGUACAAUCCCUUCCUCUAUUUACAAUCUUUCUUCUAUCAAAAUAUUCUCUGUACCACAAAACCUACUCCAGGGGAGUCUUCCCUCAGACUUGGGAUUUACACUUCCAAACCUACAGAGGCUUAACCUUUUCAAUAAUAAAUUUAAUGGACCCAUUCCUGCUUCCCUGUCUAAUGCUCAGGAACUAUCUGCAAUCAUAAUUGGGAAGAAUUACUUUGAAGGAAAAAUUCCUCAGUUGGGAAGAUUGGUGAAUCUGUACUGGUUAGGCAUUUCAGAAAAUAAUCUUGGAAGCGGAGUAGCAGAUUUUAAUGGGUUGAGUUUGCUGUCCUAUCUCACAAAUUGUACCAAUUUGCGUCGAUUGGGUCUAAACGACAAUAACUUUGGUGGGAUGUUGCCAAAUUCUAUAGCCAACCUUUCAAACCAACUUGUAUUUAUGACACUAGGAAGAAAUCGAAUAUUUGGAAAUAUUCCUGAUGGCUUAACAAAUCUUUUCAAUCUAGAAAUUUUGAGCAUGGGGAGCAAUGAACUAACGGGUACAAUCCCUGACAAAAUUGGCAAACUUCGAAAGCUCCAAGUCUUGAAUUUAUCAGGAAAUAAACUCACAGGCAACAUCCCUUCCUCUCUAGGAAAUUUGACUAUGAUUGGUGACCUCUACCUAGGACAGAAUCCUUUGAUUGGGAACAUACCUUUAAGACUAAGUGAAUGCCGACGCUUAUCCAAGCUCUAUAUUUAUCAAACCAACAUCUCUGGGAUCAUACCUAACGAGCUUUUCAACAGCUUGCCCUCACUAACUUUUUUAGACCUAUCUUAUAACAAUCUGAAUGGUUCAUUACCUUCAGAAUUUACUACUUUGAAGAAUCUUGUUACUUUUGAUGUUUCUAAUAACAUGAUAUCUGGCAAUAUUCCUAGCAGUCUUAGCAGUUGUACAAGCUUGGUAAGUUUACGAAUGGAGGGUAACUUCUUUCAAGGUACUGUUCCUUCCUUGAUGUCAUUGAGAGGCCUUGAAGAUUUAGAUCUUUCAAGAAACAACUUGUCUGGUCCAAUUCCAAGAUAUUUGGAGAACUUCAUGUUCUUAAGGAAUUUGAAUCUUUCCUUCAAUAAUUUUGAGGGUGAAGUUCCAAAAAAUGGUGUCUUCAAGAAUGCAAGUGAAAUUUCCUUGGCAGGAAACCAUUUGCUUUGUGGAGGCAUACCAGAAUUAGAAUUGCCAACAUGCAGUACAAAGAAACACAGCUUCCCUGUUGUCCUGAAAGUGGUUAUUCCUGUGAGUUGUGGGCUUUCUGCAAUAGCACUGCUACUUUGUUUCCUUACCUUUCGGUUAAGAAAAGCCAACAAGGAACUUCCUAUAGGCCCUUCCUCGAAUGAGGAUUCUCCUCAAAGAGUUUCUUAUAGAAGCAUCUUGAAAGCAACCGAUGGGUUUUCUUCAUCCAAUUUGAUUGGAAGUGGAAAGUUUGGAUGCGUUUACAAAGCAAAAUUUGAUCAAGAAGAAAGUCCUGUAGCUGUCAAAGUUCUAAACCUUCAACGCCAAGGUGCUUUCAAGAGUUUUAUAGCUGAAUGCGAAGCCUUGAGAAAUAUCAGGCAUCGAAAUCUUGUCAAGAUAUUAACUGCUUGUUCGAGUGUUGAUUUUCAAGGUAAUGAUUUCAAGGCUUUGGUGUACGACUUCAUGGUUAAUGGGAGCCUUGAACAAUGGCUACAUCCAGCUAAUGGGAUCACAGCAGAUGAGACAAAAUUUGAGACCAGGAAUCUAACAAUUCUUCAGAGGAUAAAUAUUGCAAUUGAUGUGGCUUAUGCACUCAACUAUCUUCAUCAUGGUUGCCAUAAGCCAAUAGUUCAUUGUGAUGUAAAACCGAGCAAUAUCCUUUUGGACUCAUCCAUGAUUGCCCAUGUUGGUGAUUUUGGAUUGGUUAGGUUUCUUGGUGAAGACAGCGAAAGAAGCUCUCUAGUAGUGAAAGGAUCAAUUGGGUAUGCGGCUCCAGAAUAUGGUUUAGGGAGCCAAGUCUCCGAAUUUGGUGACCUGUACAGCUAUGGAAUUCUCUUGCUAGAAAUGUUCACAGGAAAGAGACCCACUGAUAACAUGUUCGAAGAUGGCAUAGACCUCCGUAACUAUGUUAGAAUGGCAAUGACGAAUCGGGUUAUGGAGAUCGUAGAUCCACAAAUUUUUGGAGGAGAAAAGGAGGAAGCAUUUGCACAAUAUAUUCAAGAAUCCAUUGCCUCAAUUCUAAGUAUUGGGUUGGCAUGUUCUAUGUAUUCACCUUCAGAAAGAAUGGGCAUUAGUGAGGCUGUCACCAAGUUGCAGAAAAUUAGGGACGGCCUAUCCUUGGACCUGGGGAGACUGAAGAAAAAUCAAAAUUAUAGGUGAUCGGGGCUACAUUUCUACCUCUUCCUAAUUAAUCAAGGUAUUCUGACCUUACCUCUUAGACACUCCCAUGUGACUACAAAUUUACCUUUGGUUGUAAUAUGUGUAGAGAUAUAUUAUUCAAGUGUGUGUACCGAGUUGAGUUGGACUCUCCAAAUUUUAGUUGAGAUUAAUAUAUUUAGUGUUAUGGAUAUGAGAUUGAGCUACGCUCCUUCAAUUAUUAUUAUUAUUAUUA